rfam:Cricetulus griseus cell line CHO-K1, whole genome shotgun sequence.
GGGGGUAUAGCUCAGUGGUAGGGAAUUUGACUGCAGAUCGAGACAUCCCCAGUUCAAAUCCAGGUGCCCCCU